ACCCGUAAUUGGGGCACCUGGCUGGCUCAGUCAGAAAUUAUAACAUGUGACUCUUGAUCUCAGGGUAAUGAGUUUGAAUGUCACAUUGAGCACAAAGAUUACUUUUUUAAAAAAUCGAAUUGUCUUUUGUGUCCAUUUGGAUCAUCAGAAUGUUUGGUUAAGCAGGGACAUGAGGGAUGGAAUUCUGAAAGUGGAGACAGCACUUUAUGGAAAAACUGGCUUGUGAGGAGUACAGUAUCAGAAGAUGAAGUUAUAGAAAGUUUACUGUGUGGAUCUUCCCUAAGAGAAGACUUCUCCUUCCACCUAUGACAGAGGAACUGCUACCUGACUAGUCUACCUGUCUCAACCACAAAGCUGGGCAAAAUUAUGUGUGAGGACACUGCUGUUAGACAUUAGACACCAUGCAGCACAAAACAGUGAUCCUAGAGAGAAGGGAUACUCAUGAGAUCUCUUUAAAGUAUGGCCUUAAUGGAAGACAGCCAAAUUCUCAUACCUGCUUCUGCACUCAGCCUGUUACAGGAUGUUGUUCUGGUUGAAGUACAUGAAAACAAUAUGGCCCCACACAGGUAUGUGGUUGGA